rnacentral:sRNA from 1 species
UUGCUUUCUGUGAUUUGUACGAUUCGAACCUGCAGCAGGUUCGCGCCGAACGCAGUGAGGCACCGGAGCCGUUUACGGCGACGGCCCGAAGGGCGAGCGAAGCGAGUCAUCCUGCACGACCCACCA